rnacentral:misc_RNA from 1 species
AAGUCGUAACAAGGUUUCCGUAGGUGAACCUGCGGAAGGAUCAUUAACGAAUUAUGGAAAGUUGAUGCUGGCAUUCACUUGCAUGUGCUCACUCUCUUAAUCCAUUUCACACCUGUGCAUCUUAAUUUCGAAGUAAGGAGGCUCUCUGAGCCUCCAAGCUUUGGAAGCUUAUCACACUCUUAAUUGUCUUAAUGAAUGUUUAUCUGCCGCAAGGCAAAAUCUAUACAA